CCUACGGGGUGCAGCAGUAGGGAAUUUUCGUCAAUGGGCGCAAGCCUGAACGAGCAAUGUCGCGUGAACGAGGAAGGUCUUCGGAUCGUAAAGUUCUGUUGAAGGGGAAAAAGAGCGGAGAGAGGAAAUGGUCUCCGAUUGAUAUUACCCUUCGAGGAAGUCACGGCUAACUACGUGCCAGCAGCCGCGGUAAUACGUAGGUGGCGAGCGUUAUCCGGAAUGAUUGGGCGUAAAGGGUGCGUAGGCGGCCUGCUAAGUCUGGAGUGAAAGGUACCGGCUCAACCGGUACAGGCUCUGGAAACUGGCGGGCUAGAGAGCAGGAGAGGGCGGUGGAACUCCAUGUGUAGCGGUAAAAUGCGUAGAUAUAUGGAAGAACACCAGUGGCGAAGGCGGCCGCCUGGCCUGUUACUGACGCUGAGGCACGAAAGCGUGGGGAGCAAAUAGGAUUAGAUACCCCAGUAGUC
rnacentral:rRNA from 1 species